rnacentral:rRNA from 1 species
GAUGAACGCUCGCGGCGUGCCUAAUACAUGCAAGUCGAGCGAACGGACGAGAAGCUUGCUUCUCUGAUGUUAGCGGCGGACGGGUGAGUAACACGUGGAUAACCUACCUAUAAGACUGGGAUAACUUCGGGAAACCGGAGCUAAUACCGGAUAAUAUUUUGAACCGCAUGGUUCAAAAGUAAAAGACGGUCUUGCUGUCACUUAUAGAUGGAUCCGCGCUGCAUUAGCUAGUUGGUAAGGUAACGGCUUACCAAGGCAACGAUGCAUAGCCGACCUGAGAGGGUGAUCGGCCACACUGGAACUGAGACACGGUCCAGACUCCUACGGGAGGCAGCAGUAGGGAAUCUUCCGCAGUGGGCGAAAGCCUGACGGAGCAACGCCGCGUGAGUGAUGAAGGUCUUCGGAUCGUAAAACUCUGUUAUUAGGGAAGAACAUAUGUGUAAGUAACUGUGCACAUCUUGACGGUACCUAAUCAGAAAGCCACGGCUAACUACGUG